rnacentral:miRNA from 1 species
AAAGGAAAAAACAAAACCC